rnacentral:rRNA from 1 species
GACGAACGCUGGCGGCAUGCCUAAUACAUGCAAGUCGAGCGAACAGAUGAAGUGCUUGCACUCCUGACGUUAGCGGCGAACGGGUGAGUAACACGUAAGGAAUCUACCUAUAAGCGGGGGAUAACAUUCGGAAACGGGUGCUAAUACCGCAUAAUAUCUUCUUGCGCAUGGAAGAGGAUUGAAAGACGGCUCUGCUGUCACUUAUAGAUGACCUUGCGGUGCAUUAGUUAGUUGGUGGGGUAACGGCCUACCAAGACGAUGAUGCAUAGCCGACCUGAGAGGGGGAUCGGCCACAUUGGGACUGAGACACGGCCCAAACUCCUACGGGAGGCAGCAGUAGGGAAUCUUCCGCAAUGGGCGAAAGCCUGACGGAGCAAUGCCGCGUGAGUGAAGAAGGCCUUCGGGUCGUAAAACUCUGUUAUAAGAGAAGAACAAAUUGUAGAGUAACUGCUACAGUCUUGACGGUAUCUUAUCAGAAAGCCACGGCUAACUACGUGCCAGCCGCCGCCGUAA